GGAAAAUCCUUUGCUUCUUUGGUUUAGUAUACACCUAAAGAUAACGGAAACUGAAGACAAGUCUCCUUUCCCUUACCCUGAAACUGUCAGAGCUCCUGUUUGCUUACAUGGGGUUAACGCAGAGGUGCAGGGUGCCAGGGCUGCAAGCCAGUCAGAGGGCGCCUAAGGACAUUAUUCCCCCGAGUUGCUUGUGAGCCUCUUAGAAAACUGCUGUCAUUCCUCAUGCAAUAGCAGAAGACACUGGAGUGGCAAGAUGGAAAAGCAAAGUGUGAUUAGUUUUAAAGGAUAGCACAAACAAUAAAUGAAAGUUAUGACCGGCUGUGAACAGGGGAAGCGUGAAGGACUGAGAUGAAUUUAUACUCUUCUAGCUCCCUUCUAAGUGAAAAAUGGGCACAAAAUCUCCUGUGUGCUGAUUUGCAUGCAUGAGAAAAAGCGUUGGCUGGGUGAAAAAUAGCCUGUAGUGCCCAUUCUUCACUUGUUAAAUAAUCCAGACGAAGGAUAAGAGAGCGAUUCAUUGUCAGUGCAUUUCUACCUGAGGGAUUUUGGCGCUGCUCUCCCAGCUGGAUUAGGCCCCAUGUUUUCCCGCACCUAAACUGUUCCAGUUUCAUUUAUGGCAGCGGGCAGCCCUGGGACAUCCGAACGUGAGGAUCUCUGCUCCUGGCAGGCGGCUGGGUCGUGUUCCCAGCACAGGUACGCAGACCUGCUUGGGAGCAUGCAUACCUCGGGCUCUACUUAGAGCAAGACUGGGGCGUCUGGAAGUACAAGAUCACGUGCUAAUAAGCUGCAUCUCCAUAGUGACUGCACCCUUACUUCGGAGCUCGUUUGUACCUGUGUCCUGGUGCUCUUCCUCGCAGCGUAAGCAACACUGCAAGGUCUUAAAAGUGGCUGUUCAGUGUUUGCCUGCCUCGUUAUUCCUAAUGAGGUGCAUGAUUUUGUAACGCAUAUUGAGAUAACGUUAAGAUUUGUAACCUAAAGGGGGAAAAAAAAAGUAGAAUGGCAAGUACUUGGCCUCUGCUCAUAACCUGUUUGGUUGUAAAGGGAAGGUCAAAAUUCAUACGCUCUGCAAUGAAUUUCUAGCAAUUGUCAGCUGCUUCCCCAGACCUUGUGUCACUCUGCUUACACGUGAUUUUCAUAUUUAACUUCUGCAUUAAAGAAUUUACGAGAGCUCCAAGUCUCUCUCUGUUAGCUGUGGGGGAAGAUGUGCUGUCUCACAGCCCUCUCAUCCUUAUAUAUCAGCCCAUGGUUUUUUCAAGUUGCAUGCAAAGUUAUGCAUUAGCCUAAACGUGCCAACCCACUUUAUCUGAUCUGAUGAGAGCUUUUGUUUUGGAGGCUGGAUUGAAACUAAGAAAUGCCUUGUUUUAAGGACUGACUGUUCUAGUACAGCUCAAUCACAAAUGGUUUUAAAAUGUAUUUUUUUCUUUUUAGCAAGGAAAGCAAUAAUGCCACCCAAUAGGUAUUAAUCAAAAUUGUUGAAACUGUUUUCAGAAAUUGCCUAGGUGUCUAGGAAGCUGUCUUAUUAGCAGGCAGGAAUGAUGAAUAACUCUGUCCUGCAUAUCUACUUCUGUGCCAAAGCACUUAUCAUUUGCAGAUCUGAAAAUGCUUUGUUUUCAGUGACUCAGCCACUUCCACGAUCCUUCUCUUUUAUAGACAGGUGUGUCAGAUGAGUUACUUCUUGUUAAUGACCAACAGAGCUACUAAGAAAUCUCUCUCAUGAUACUCUAGAGUUUAGGAAGCCAAAUUUGCCUCCUUUGAAAUGCAAAUGCAUCUUACCAUUGCCCUUAAUGGGGCAUUUCUUCUUCGAAUGUGUUCCCAUGCAGGAAAAUUCCUUUCUUUUCAACGAGCAGCAGGAGGAGUUAGCUGCUUGCUAACUGGCAUAAUUAGAAACCUUUACUGGAGAUGAUUGGGUCAGGUUGUUCCCAUGCACAUGAGGUUGUUAAU
rnacentral:lncRNA from 1 species